rnacentral:misc_RNA from 1 species
UAGCUCUAACAGGCAGAGCGCUCAGUUUCUUCAUGGAAUUUGAGAGGUUGAUGGUUCGAAUCCGUCCAGAUCUGAUUAUUUUAUACAGGGCUAUGAUGUGGCCGUUCUUGUGCUUGGCCCAAUGGUCCUACUAUCCUGAACCAGAAGGGUGGUCCCUCCGAUCCAAUGGCUCUGUUGAGGCUGAUGUGCGUCUCUCUAGAAUGAGAUCUUUUUAUAAAUUUAUUUUAGCUAAUAUAAAAUUUUAAGACGUCUAGAAG